CUUUAACGACCACCAUGACACUCACCUCCUACUACUCCACAGGUUCUAUACCAUCUGGAGUGAAAAGGUUUCAGUUCACAGGCUAAAGCAGGAGAUGAUUUUGAACGUUAUGGCGAAAAUUUCUUGUUAUGGAAUCCCUCUAUAAGAAAGCUGGUAAGCCUUCCCAAGCCUGGCAUUACUGUUCAGACUGUUGGUGGGUAUGAUGCACAACAUGGUUUUGCAUUUGAUGUUGUUACCAAUGACUAUAAGGUUGUGAGGGUUGUCGAGGAUCAAUAUGGAUGGGAGGACGAAGAAACUGAGAAUCGAAUUUUUGUGGAGGUUUAUUCACUAGCUGCUGGCUCAUGGAGUUCUCGUAGGAUUGUUGAUCCCCAAUGGUCAGUAUUUGGACACUCACCCCAGGCUUUUGUCAAUGGGGCUCUUCAUUGGGAUGUACGCUCUAAAGCAAGUAGCAAACAUCGUUAUUUUAUUCUGGCAUUUGAUGUGAGCAGUGAGUUAUUGCGGGAGAUGAUGAUGCCAGAGAGUUUGGAUUGGGAUUCAUUUAGGCCAGGGUUUGGAGACUUGUCAUUGCAAUUGACUGUUUCAGGAGAUGGAAAGUCCCUUGCUCUGUUCUUGAGGUAUCAUGAUGAGUAUUCAGAUCCCAGUUUACUGGAUGUAUGGGUAAUGAAAGAGUAUUGUGUAGAGGAGUCGUGGACCAAAUUGAUAACUCUCCGUCCACAAGGUCCACAAAGAAGUUUACCUAGAGCUGUAUGUUUCAGGAAGAGAGGUGAAGUAGUGAUGAUAAGAAAUCUUGAGAAACAUUGUAAUGGAGGGGAAGAAGCUAGAAAUGAAUUAGUUUCACUGGACCUUGAGAGCGGACAAUUCAAGAGUCUCGGGAUUUGUCGAUAUAAAUAUUACACCAUUGAUCCUUAUGAAGAAAGCAUUGUCUUAAUUGACAGGAAUGAAGCAAUUUCUUGCUGAGGAAAAGAAAAGGUUCGUAGUGCCAGUACGUAGCAAUAGCUUUUCGUCUGAAGUGCAUUGCAUUUUCUUGGAUGCAUGUUCCAAUCCCAGUGCUGGUGUAUUAUCUCGUCGGACUAGUUUUUUUCUGCUAUUGUAAACAUAACUUCGGGAGAUGUUUUUACAGUUUGAAAUAUGAACCUUUUAGCAAUAUAUGUUAAUUAUUUCCCUGAAGGUCAACAAUUAACUAUAUUCUAACCGAGUAUAGUCUGUUGGUUGAUUAACAUCAUCCGCAGUUCGUGUACAUGACUUUUGCAGUUGGAUGGUUGAUAGCACAAUCCUGUAUUUUGAUGUAAAAAA